CUGGCGGUGUUUCGGCUUCGGCGCUUUAACUCUGCCUGCGGGGCGGGGGCGGGGUGGCGCCCAGGACGACUCUCCGGGCUCAGCUUGGCUGCCUGCCUCCUUCUCAAACAAUGAGUACCUACUGUGUGCAGAAGCAGCAGGACAGCCUGUCAUCACUGGGAAAGAGGCCAGAAGAGCCAUUUGGCCAGGGUCUCCAAUUUAGGCUUUCAACAUUAUCUCUAAAUAAGGUUAUACAUUACGUCGGCUCCACUGGCUGAUGGGAUCAAAGACCCUCCUUGUAUAUCCUUAAACCUGUACUCUAAUACCAGGCCACUGUGCCUGUGGAGCACUGUAAGUUCCUACCUUUUAAUAAAUUUUAUAAUUAUCUUGUGAGCA
rnacentral:antisense_RNA from 1 species